GGGGCCUUAGCUCAGCCGGGAGAGCGCCUGCUUUGCACGCAGGAGGUCAUCGGUUCGAUCCCGAUAGGCUCCA
rnacentral:tRNA from 3 species